rnacentral:rRNA from 1 species
GUAGGUGGCAAGCGUUGUCCGGAAUUAUUGGGCGUAAAGCGCGCGCAGGUGGUUCUUUAAGUCUGAUGUGAAAGCCCCCGGGCUCAACCGGGGAGGGUCAUUGGAGACUGGGGAACUUGAGUGCAGGAGAGGAAAGUGGAAUUCCACGUGUAGCGGUGAAAUGCGUAGAUAUGUGGAGGAACACCAGUGGCGAAGGCGACUUUCUGGCCUGUAACUGACACUGAGGCGCGAAAGCGUGGGGAGCAAACAGGAUUAGAUACCCUGGUAGUCCACGCCGUAAACGAUGAGUGCUAAGUGUUGGGGGGUUUCCGCCCCUCAGUGCUGCAGCUAACGCAUUAAGCACUCCGCCUGGGGAGUACGGUCGCAAGACUG